rnacentral:rRNA from 1 species
GACGAACCGUGCGAACGUUGUUCGGAAUCACUGGGCUUAAAGGGCGCGUAGGCGGGUGUGCAAGUCUGCGGUGAAAGCCUCCAGCUCAACUGGAGAAGUGCCGUGGAUACUGCCCACCUCGAGGAGGGUAGGGGCAUCUGGAACGUUGGGUGGAGCGGUGAAAUGCGUUGAUAUCCAACGGAACUCCGGUGGCGAAGGCGAGGUGCUGGACCCUUUCUGACGCUGAGGCGCGUAAAGCCAGGGGAGCGAACGGG